GUCUAUGGCCAUACCACCCUGAACACACCCGACCUUAUCUGAUCUUGGAAGCUCGACAGGGUCAGGCCUGGUUAAUACUUGGACAGGAAAUGAAUGUACUUGAGUUGGAGGGAAGAAGGGGUAUGGUUG
rnacentral:rRNA from 1 species